CCCUGCUGGCUCUUCAAGGCAUUGAAAUUUCAGGUGGAAGAAGGGAUGAGAAGGGAUGUUUGGAAAGAGCAUCUGUUUGAGCAGAGAGGCAGAGGUCUGGCUUUAACAAGAACUGCCUGAAAAAAAACCCCAAAGGAGUUGAAAAUCCCCCCCUGGAGAGCAUCAGCAGGCACCCAGAAUACAUCUCCAGGGUCACUUAAUUCCCUGGAUCCUACCCAACUGCUAUUGAAGUUAAUUGAAAAAACUCCUAUUGCCUUGAAGAGGUUUUGGAUCCUACUCAAAUGGCUCAGUGGCAGCAGAUUACAAGAAGGAACCCCACUGUGCAAUUCCAGCCAUCUGCCUAUGGUGUGAUUCACCAGGAAACAUAAAGGCAAGAAAUGAAAGAAAGGAGCAAUCUCUGGAGAAGGGGCUGAGGAGAGGAGGCAGAAAAGAAGCCUCCUGUCUUUCAGGAGGGAUGCCUGUCCUCACAGCCGUGGUGUCUCCAAAACCUGUGCAAAAUUUCUGAUCUGCUUCAGUGCUGAGGAUGAUUUAAAUGAAUCUGUGUUACUCUGAACCAAAACAAAUGGGGAGUGCUUGCAUGAGCCACCAGGUACCUCAGCUGUGAUGUGUUAUGGCCAGUAAUCAAGCUUCUGGGAUGGACGGAAUCCUUCUCCUAGUAAAGCCACCUCUGAAGGACUGGAAACGUGCAGAUUUUUCAUCUGAG